UACCAGCACCCCGAGUGGUCGGGACGUUAUUGGGCCUAAAGCAUCCGUAGCCGGCCUUACAAGUCCCCCGUUAAAUCCAACUGCUCAACAGAUGGGCUGCGGAGGAUACUAUAAGACUAGGAGGCAGGGAGAGGCCAAGCGGUACUCAGUGGGUAGGGGGUAAAAAUCCCGUUGACUCCAUUGAGACCACCAGUGGCGAAGGCGGCUUGCCAGAAUGCGCUCGACGGUGAGGGAUGAAAGCUGG
rnacentral:rRNA from 1 species